rnacentral:rRNA from 1 species
AUUGAACGCUGGCGGCAGGCCUAACACAUGCACGUCGAACGAGUGGCGGAGGGGUGAGUAAUGUCUUGGAAACUGCCUGAUGGAGGGGGAUAACUAAUGGAACCGGUAGCUAAUACCGCAUACCAUCGGAUGUGCUCAGAUGGGAUUAGCUAGGAGGUGGGGUAAAGGCUCACCUAGGCGACGAUCCCUAGCUGGUCUGAGAGGAUGACCAGCCUCGAUGGUACUUAGACACUGUCCAGACUCCUGCGUGAGGCAGCAGUGGCGAAUAUUCGACAAUGGGGCCAAGCCAGAUGCAGCCAUGCCGCGUGUAUGAAGAAGGCCUUCGGGUUGUAACGUCCUUUCUGCAGAGAGGCGUUACCCGGAGAAGAAGCACCGGCUAACUCCGUGCCAGCAGCCGCGGUAAUUC